GUGAGGGUAUAGUUCCUCACUCGAUCCACCUCCAUCCACUUUGCUUUAUGAGGAUUUUGUCCCUUCAGGCCGAUGCGCAAUCACUCUCGGUCACCGCUACGGGAAUGACGAAUCUUCCUCUCCAACUUGAUUCUAUAGGGCCUUGGUCAACACAUCAGUAGUUGGAGUGCCAAAGACGACCUUACUUAAGGGGUAGGGAGAACUCUUUCCUUCUCUUCUGCUAGCAAGGGUGGCCCAUACAGUUUUUAGCUCUCCACGUCUAUCCCGGAGUACAUCCGCAUGUACGGAGGUGAAUCUAGCCUAAAAGCUAAUCGUUAGAUAUUCGCAAGCAAGAAAAUUGGGAAUGGUCCGUAUCGCAAAGUCAGCUUCAACUUCACAGGCAGCUUGCUUGCUUGAUAGAGUGUGGUGUGCCCUGUCAGUCUGGUGUAGUUGACUCGACCUACGGCUUCUAGCUCUUGAAGUCAAGUCGAAGUGAAGUCAAAUCUGGUACUUCCGACUGCCUCCAUGCAGAGAAGAGAGAAGUCGGUUCUCCCCCCGCUUCGCUCUCCCCCUCGGGGGGAAUGGAGUAGUUUAGUCUGACAGUAGAGUCGAGGAAGCUUCCGUAGCUAUUCUGUGGCGCCCCUACUCUUGAAAUUCAAGCUUGCCGUCGAAUUCCAUGGCCGUAGGCUUGUUCCUCAUCUACGUCACGGUGGUGUGGAGAUGUCCGAAAAGCUCCGAAAGAAAGAGAAGGCAGCCUAUAAUAAAAGGUAGUUCGAGUAGGGAAGUCUACGGAAGGAGAGGAACCUUCACUGAUGGACGGUUCCUCGUUGAGUCUACGGAAGGGUGGUGGUCGAGCACUCUUUUAGAGUUCACAAGCGUAGGGAGCGGAUAAGAGGUGGGUUAGAGAUGUCUUCUUUCCCUUCGGUUCGCUUACAAAUAGGCAACCUAAUAGGGCACUCACACAAUAAAAAAGACGACAACUCUCAUCUCAAAUCAUAGAAUAGACUUGCAAUCCCAGUGGAACCCCCUCCGGGGGUGGUCGAGCCCGUCAGGCGAGGGGGAGAGAUGAAGGCAGGUAUGGGAGGUUGAAUUGAUAGGUCGGGAAAGAAAGAAUAACCCGAGUCCAUCCAUAAUGUGGUGGGGUUGGGAAGCCCACCGAGGUCGAGCAUAUCUCAAUAUCGGUCUAUCCUAUCAAUUCUGUCUGAUGCCAACCUCUAUUGUCUGGUGCAAGGGAGGACUUACAAGCAGGGAAGGCAGGAACAUAAAGAUUGAACUAGCCCAUGCAUCUGCUCCCCUCUCAAUCUACCUAUAACUCCCAUCUCCCAGCAUCUCAUUCCCACCCCGUCGUCGAGAGCAGCCAGCCCGACGUUUUUAUGCGAGUGCCCCAUGAACAUUUUUUCAAUCUCGAAUCUCCGUCUGGUUCCCCGAUGGGGUAUUCAUCCAUUGAUCGACCAACAGAUUAUAGAGAAGCAAAAGUCUCUUGAAUCUCCAUUGGCAGCAAGCAGUUCCCUUUCUUUUCUCGAGGCAGGAGGGAAUGAAAGGCGAAUCAAAGCUACAAUAUGACCUGGAAAAAAGAGACUAACAGCUGCUGAAGGUGAGAUUUUUUGAUCGAUUCAUCAGGGAGGAUUCAAUGAGAGACUAGGAAGACGCCUCCUCGACAUCUCUUUGUCCGCGGUAAGGGUAAUGCCCUAAACCAUAAGUCUGAGUAUGUCCUCUCGGACAACCGACGGUUCUUCGAUUCCUUGGCCCUCUGUUGGUUCUGCUACCCGGACCCCCAAUAAGCCGUGGCUUUCAUCAUUCCCGGUGAUUCGGUGCAGACGCUGUACUUAAGGCUAGAGGGUGAAUCAGUGGUUACAAUAUCCUUUAUGUAAUCACUCCCUAUGCAUUCUUCUGCCAGAUCACAAGCUUUUCCCAGAAUUGUUGGCCCUACCUGAUAGAUGCUUUCGACACUUCGAGUUGGUCUGCCAUAAUAUCCAGGAAAUGUUGGGAGCUGUGUGAUAAAUAGAACAACCUUGAAUUGGAAAUGCUAUUAAAGCAUCUGCCUCAUUCCAUUUGAAAGUGCAUUCCUAUAACCCCAAUAAGAAAAGGGAAAUACCAACCUUUUCAUAGUUCCUGGGAUUCAAAGAUAAAAAAAGUUCGAGGUAUUUUUAUACAAAACUUAGAUAGAUAUCACACACUUACUUAUAAGUAUUGCUUAUGGGACGAAUAUACA
rnacentral:lncRNA from 1 species